GUAGAGAUCUGGAGGAAUACCGAUGGCGAAGGCAGCCAUCUGGCCUAAUACUGACGCUGAGGUACGAAAGCAUGGGGAGCAAACAGGAUUAGAUACCCUGGUAGUCCAUGCCGUAAACGAUGUCUACUAGCCGUUGGGGCCUUUGAGGCUUUAGUGGCGCAGCUAACGCGAUAAGUAGACCGCCUGGGGAGUACGGUCGCAAGACUAAAACUCAAAUGAACUGACGGGGGCCCGCACAAGCGGUGGAGCAUGUGGUUUAAUUCGAUGCAAC
rnacentral:rRNA from 1 species